rnacentral:rRNA from 1 species
UACGAAGGGAGCUAGCGUUGUUCGGAAUUACUGGGCGUAAAGAGCGCGUAGGCGGUCUGUAAAGUUGGAAGUGAAAGCCCAAGGCUUAACCUUGGAACUGCUUUCAAAACUCACAGACUAGAGAUUGGUAGAGGAUGGUGGAAUUCCUAGUGUAGAGGUGAAAUUCGUAGAUAUUAGGAGGAACACCGGUGGCGAAGGCGGCCAUCUGGGCCAAUACUGACGCUGAGGCGCGAAAGCGUGGGGAGCAAACAGG